AGUGGAACAUGCGCAGUAUGGUCAAACGAAGCUGCUUUCUGCCCACAACUCCUCCGCCUCCAGGAAACCCCCUUCAGCUUGGCCUGCUCUAAAGAAACGUCGCCUGCCAGUUUCGCUCUGUCGGGUUUUUCGGCCAGUGGCAAAGCCCGUCCAAGCAUGCUACUGGCUCCUUUCCCUGCUCUGUGCACCUAUUUAUGUUAAUUGCCUGGUGGUGGCCGCGCAGCCGGGCUGUCAGGGCCUAUUUUCAAAAAUAAGAGACGUUGUGGAGCUCGAUGCCUGCAAUAAAGAGGCAUCCAUAAUGUUCUUGGGAAAUGUGGGGCAGAAAUACAGUGUUGUAUGGGACUGGGGGAGUCUGGAGUAAGGGGAGACUCUUGAAAAGAAAGGACAUCUAGCAAGUCUAGCAAGCCAAAGUGACUGACAUUUCUCAUCAGUCUGCCCUGAUUAUUACAGACUCGUUUUUAAUUUGCUUUCAAGAAUAAUGCUCAUAUUCUUGGAUUCUGAUCGCAUACAUAUAGUUAGUUGAGAUUUACUGGCGGGAAGGAACUCUGCACAUGAUCCGAGGUCAUUUCUUCAUAUUUCCUGGUCUGAGGCAUGCAGACAGAGAGCAACUGGGCCUAUCCAUCCCCAACACAGCAUCCCUCCAGUGGCUGUUGCUGAUUUUUAACCAUCAAUAAUUCCAAAAUGGCAUCAUGCCCAAGAGAAGAUGAUCUUUCUCAGAUUCAAAUUUACCAUAUAUGAUUUUGCUGGAGCGAUGUGUGUGUCAUUACCACGAGGAAAGCCCAAAUGCUGGCAUCAACAUUUUAAAAAUACAAUUUUACAUUCAAAAAUGAUCCUCCUUUUCCUGCAAGCAAAACAUUUUGAACAGAAGUAUCCCAGCAGAGCACAGAAGUAUUAUUGCAGUACAUUUGUCAUCACAAAAGUAACCAAAUCUGCUCGUUUUCCAAGACUGUAUCGUCUUCCUAGGGUUUAAGCUCAACUUUCUGGGGAGUCUUACAAAAUCCUGUAAAGUACUUGAAUUUUCCAAUACACUUAAUUAUAAAAAGAAGUUAUUAGAGGUAGCCCCUCCUCAAGAAUCAUGAAGUGAAGAGCUCUGGGGUUUCAGAGGCAUUGUGACAAAGAAUUGUGAGGGGAGGACUGGAUGGGGAGAAUUAUACGAGUGUUUGGAGCAUGUGAUAGGAUGCUUCCUGAUUUUUUUUAUUUUGGCAAGGAGGGGGACAUGGGGCAGUUAGGCACCUCACAGAAUGAGGAUGUGCUGUACAUGCUGUAGGGAAGAGGGGAUAUUCAGGCUGCACCUGACAUGAUAUUAUUUGAAAACAGCAAUGGGAAUAGUGGCUAUUUUGGAUCACAUUUAUGUAUAGAAUAUGUGCAAAUCUAGGUCAGAUUACACCAAGUACACAAUAAUUUGGAACAGUUCUGCAAAUCUGUGGCCAAACAUAGCUCACCAGGGCUUUGAUAAAACAUCUGGAUUUUGCUGCCUAUCUGUAACUACAAAACAUAUGAGUGUAGUCAGGCCCACAAUACAUGGCUAGUGAAUUGCAUUUGGCUUGGUGGGUCAAAAGCUGUACAGGUCUAGUUCACAGAGUCAGUCUGCACAGGAUGGCUGAAUCCAGCCAUAUGAUAUGGGUUCCAAUAUAGCAAUAUUGGAAGCAGAGAAUGGGCAUAGGACUACUGGGUGACAAUGAACAGUUGACAGGGUAUUUUAUUAAAUUAUACAUGGCUCAGACUUGAAAAUUGAAUGCUCAUGCUCACACCCCUUUGCCAGCAAUGAGAUGGGCAACACACACUAAAAAUUAAGCAAUCAUUGCUUCAAAGUAUGUAAAACUUAAAAUAGACAAUAUUCCCUAUCCAGGGGGGUGAAUAAAAUUGCACUUCAUUUGAUUAAAAACAUUAGCCAUUAGAUAACAUUUUCAAAUUUUCUUCUUCUAAAGCCCUCUUCUUUUCCCAAGCUAGACAACAGAAUCUUCAGUCAACUGCUGCUACAUUCAAGAAGAGUGAAAGUGACCCAAGUAAAAUGUUCUCCCUGUGAGAACAGUAUCUAAUUCCAAAGGUGAAGAUCAAGGAACAUAUUAGAAGAAUGCAGCACUGGAACAUUCUGAGGGAGACAGAAGUUUCUUCCUUUCUCCAACAGCAGGGAG